rnacentral:rRNA from 1 species
GAACCGAGCGAACGUUGUUCGGAAUCACUGGGCUUAAAGGGCGCGUAGGCGGCUUACCAAGUCAGGGGUGAAAUUUUGCGGCUUAACCGUAACAGUGCCUUUGAUACUGGUAGGCUCGAGGGAGAUAGGGGUCUGCGGAACUUCCGGUGGAGCGGUGAAAUGCGUUGAUAUCGGAAGGAACGCCGGUGGCGAAAGCGGCAGACUGGAUCUCUUCUGACGCUGAGGCGCGAAAGCCAGGGGAGCAAACGGGAUUAGAUACCCCGGUAGUCCUGGCCCUAAACGAUGGGUACUAGAUUGUAAGCGUGACAUGCGCCUACAGUCGAAGCAAAAGUGUUAAGUACCCCGCCUGGGGAGUAUGGUCGCAAGGCUGAA